rnacentral:rRNA from 1 species
UACGUAGGGUGCGAGCGUUGUCCGGAAUUAUUGGGCGUAAAGAGCUCGUAGGCGGUCUGUCGCGUCGAUCGUGAAAACUUGGGGCUUAACCCUGAGCUUGCGGUCGAUACGGGCAUGACUGGAGUUCGGCAGGGGAGACUGGAAUUCAUAGUGUAGCAGUGAAAUGCGUAGAGAUCAUGAGGAAGACCAGUGGCGAAGGCGGGUCUCUGGACAGUUCCUGACACUGAGACACGAAGGCCAGGGGAGCAAACGGG